rnacentral:rRNA from 2 species
UGGGGAAUAUUGGACAAUGGGCGCAAGCCUGAUCCAGCCAUGCCGCGUGGGUGAUGAAGGCCCUAGGGUUGUAAAGCCCUUUCGGCGGGGAAGAUAAUGACGGUACCCGCAGAAGAAGCCCCGGCUAACUUCGUGCCAGCAGCCGCGGUAAUACGAAGGGGGCUAGCGUUGCUCGGAAUCACUGGGCGUAAAGCGCACGUAGGCGGCUUGUUAAGUCAGGGGUGAAAUCCUGGAGCUCAACUCCAGAACUGCCUUUGAUACUGGCAAGCUUGAGUUCGGGAGAGGUGAGUGGAACUGCGAGUGUAGAGGUGAAAUUCGUAGAUAUUCGCAAGAACACCAGUGGCGAAGGCGGCUCACUGGCCCGAUACUGACGCUGAGGUGCGAAAGCGUGGGGAGCAAACAGG